UUGGGGGACGUAGGAGGGGGGGAGCUGCACCCCCCUCGGCGUCAAGUUACCCUCGGUGGGGAGGCUCCUGGGUUAGGAGGAGAGCAAGCGGGCCUAACCCAGACGCGGAGGUGGACUGCGUCAAAGUUCCUGGGGCGGGGGAUCCCCGGAGAAACUUCCCCAAGUUUCGGCUUACUAAUUUAGUAUAAGUGUAUGUGCUCGGUGGGCCCCGUACAAGCGGGCUCCGGAAUGCGUGUGCGUGUGAAAAAGACGGUGGGCCCCGUACAAGCGGGCUCCGGAGUGCAUGUGAAAGGGACAAAGCCUCGACCCCGGAAACGGGGUCUUUAAGAGUCGUUUAGGGGUGUGUAGUCCCGGGGUGAUUGAGGUGAAUAAGAAGACACACAGGGCGAAGCCCCGGUCGAGAAACGGAGGCGCCGGAAAGACCUUCUUUUGCAGACACAGGCUAAGGAUGUUGGGGGAUGGCUGGAGCUGAUUGUGAAAUCAGCGACCACCGGGCAGCGGCCACCGGAGUGGACGGUGUGGAAGUGCUCCGGGUACGCCCAUCACUGUCCGGAACCGAUUGUGAAAUCAGCGAUCACCUGCCUCGACACAACGCAGAGACGAUGCAGAGGGAUGCUCAAGCUACGCCCACCGCUAUCGCAAGAGACGCGAAUGAAGAAACCUCCAAGAAACUAUAAAAGAGACUGAAUAAGGGGAGUGGGGCGUGGGGCACUGCAGUGUGGGACACUGCAGGAGGGGCGGCUUGGAGACCCCUACCCACCCAGCGCUGUUUUGCUUGCUACUGCUUGCUGUAAUUAAUAAAAUUCUAAUUGACCUUAAAAA